UACGGGGGGGGCAAGCGUUGUUCGGAAUUACUGGGCGUAAAGGGCCAGUAGGCGGCCAACUAAGUCGGAUGUGAAAUCCCCAGGCUUAACCUGGGAACUGCAUCCGAUACUGGAUGGCUUGAAUUCGGGAGAGGGAUGCAGAAUUCCAGGUGUAGCGGUGAAAUGCGUAGAUAUCUGGAGGAAUACCGGUGGCGUAGGCGGCAUCCUGGACCGACAUUGACGCUGAACGGCGAAAGCUAGGGGAGCAAACGGG
rnacentral:rRNA from 1 species